CCCUUUAGAGAACGCAACCGAUAGCGCUGGCUUUCUUCUGAGGUCACAGAACCACAGAAUGGCUGGGGCUGGAGGGGACCUCGAAGACCAUCCAGUGCAGCCCCUCCACCACAGGAAGGGUUGCCAACCACUACAUCACAUCAACUGAAUACUAUUCCAUUUACAAAGGUUCUUGGCCUUCGACUACUUCAUACCCACUUAUGGCUUCCAGUCUUACACAGUCCCUACUGGUGGGCUGGAUCCUGAUCCCAGGAGCUUCCAUCGCAAGCUUUUCAUCUCUGCAUGCAGCACUGAGCAGUGUGCAAAACACAAAGCUGUAGGAGUUUGUAGGUGCUGUCACAAGAAGCAACAGUAAAAGACUUGGCAGAACACAACUGCAGAGUUUCCUGCUAUUGAUUACCUCAAGAACUCAGCUCAUCAACCAAGGCAAGAGAGGACAAGUCUUAAAUCAAGAACAAGACAGAAAUUAUUUAACAAUUUGAUGGAAAGAUCAAUGAUGAUAACAAUCUGCUUCUUUCUUCAGCAUUUUAUAAGCACAUAGUUAUUUUCUCUUGCUACAGAAUUAAUUUAAGUUGAAAUGGUGUGGGAGGAGACAGCAAUCAUAAAG